UACGUAGGGGGCAAGCGUUGUCCGGAAUUAUUGGGCGUAAAGAGCGUGUAGGCGGUCCGGUAAGUCAGCUGUGAAAGUCAAGGGCUCAACCCUUGAAUGCCGGUUGAUACUGUCGGGCUAGAGUCCGGAAGAGGCGAGUGGAAUUCCCGGUGUAGCGGUGAAAUGCGCAGAUAUCGGGAGGAACACCAAUGGCGAAGGCAGCUCGCUGGGACGGUACUGACGCUGAGACGCGAAGGCGUGGGGAGCAAACAGG
rnacentral:rRNA from 1 species